rnacentral:rRNA from 1 species
UACAGAGGGUGCAAGCGUUGUUCGGAAUUAUUGGGCGUAAAGGGUAGGUAGGUGGUCUCAUUUGUCUGGGGUGAAAGCCUUGAGCUUAACUCAAGAAGUGCCCCAGAAACGGUGAGACUAGAGUCCUGGAGAGGGUCGUGGAAUUCCCGGUGUAGCGGUGAAAUGCGUAGAGAUCGGGAGGAACACCAGAGGCGAAGGCGGCGACCUGGACAGGCACUGACACUCAACUACGAAAGCGUGGGGAGCAAACAGG